UACGGAGGGGCUAGCGUUGUUCGGAAUUACUGGGCGUAAAGCGCACGUAGGCGGUCUUUUAAGUCGGGGGUGAAAUCCUGGAGCUCAACUCCAGAACUGCCUCGAUACUGGAAGACUCGAGUCCGGGAGAGGUGAGUGGAACUGCGAGUGUAGAGGUGAAAUUCGUAGAUAUUCGCAAGAACACCAAGUGGCGAAGGCGGCUCACUGGCCCGGUACUGACGCUGAGGUGCGAAAGCGUGGGAGCAACAGGGAUAGAACCC
rnacentral:rRNA from 1 species